rnacentral:rRNA from 1 species
UACAGAGGGUGGCAAGCGUUAAUCGGAAUUACUGGGCGUAAAGCGCACGUAGGUGGCGACGUAAGUCGGGUGUGAAAGCCCCCCGGCUCAACUGGGGAGGGUCACGCGAUACUGAUCGACUCGAAGGCAGGAGAGGGUAGUGGGAAUUCCCGGGUGUAGUGGUGAAAUGGCGUAGAGGAUGUGGAGGAACACCGAUGGCGAAGGCAGCCCCCUGGG